rnacentral:rRNA from 1 species
AGGACGAACGCUGGCGGCGUGCUUAACACAUGCAAGUCGAGCGGAAAGGCCCUUCGGGGUACUCGAGCGGCGAACGGGUGAGUAACACGUGAGUAAUCUGCCCCUAGCUCUGGGAUAGCUCCGGGAAAACCGGGAUUAAUACUGGAUACGACCACCUUAGACAUCUUUUGUGGUGGAAAGAAUUUCGGCUAGGGAUGAGCUCGCGGCCUAUCAGCUUGUUGGUGGGUAACGCCUACCAAGGCAACGAUCAGUA